rnacentral:RNase_P_RNA from 1 species
AAAGCCGGACAGGCGAUCGCGGGCGCGUCGUUAUCGAGCCCCGAGGAAAGUCCGGACUCCACAGGGCAGGGUGAUGGCUAACGGCCACCCGGGGUGACCCGCGGGACAGUGCCACAGAAAACAAACCGCCCGUCGGCCUAGCUUUGCGCUGGGACAAGCGGGUAAGGGUGAAAAGGCGAGGUAAGAGCUCACCGCGCGACUGGUGACAGGAGCGGCACGGUAAACCCCACCCGGAGCAAGGCCAAGCAGCAGGCUGGGCGGCCCGUCCAAAGCCUGCGGGUAGGCUGCUAGAGGUUCGCGGUAACGCGCACCCGAGAGAAAUGGUCGCCGGUCAUCCUUCGGUAACGGGGAUGAUUACAGAAUCCGGCUUAUGUCCGGCUUUUCCG